GUAUUAGGCGUAUAACCAUUCUUUAUCCUUUUAUUUAAUUCUUUUUUUGUCUAAAUUUUUACCAUUAGAAAUUUCAAUUUUGUAUCAAAAGAACAUAAUUUGAGAAAAGAUGGCACAAAAAUUUUUUAUAUAAAUAAAAUUUAAAUAUAUGGAAAACAAUAAAAUAUAUGGAAACAAUGAAGUAAAUAUUAUAUAUCUGUCAGAUUCAAGUAUUUAUGAUACCAAAUAAUAUAAAUAAUUAUGUAAUAAUAAUAUAAUUAUAAAUAUUCAAAAAUUAAAUUAAAAUUCAAGCAAACUUAAAAUUCAAUCUGAUCCUUUUUUAUCAACUUCUUACAUGAAAAUCAGUAAGAAACAUGAAUCUUAGAUGUAUUAAGAUGUUUUAAUCGUUUAGACGUCCAAACAGGAAAUACUAUUCCUCAUUCGUCAGCAAGAAAUAGUAAGAUUUAAACGUCCUUCGAAGCGUUCUCAUCAAGCGGACGAGUAUAACGAGCGGAUCUUUUUCUUUUUUUUCUUCCUUUUUUUUUUUCCACAUAAGACACGUGUCGUGCGCGCUGCACACGUAGUAUGCAUCUUUGGUGUAUGCAGUCGCGCGUACAAGAAACUAUGUGCAGUCACGUGUUACGAGUGGAAUAGCGAAAACGUGAUGCGAUUAUGCAUUCUUCCUACGUCGUCAUUUCUCGCUUGGUACGAGCCGAGUCUCGCGUCUAGAUAUACAUAUUUAUUAACCUAACGUUUUAUGGUAAUUCUAUUAAACGUUUCUUCUUCACGCCCGACGCCACCGGAUUUCAGCGACUACAUUCAUCACGAGACUAAUGACGAUAUAGCUGAACGGACCAUUACCUCGCCCACAUCGCAAAUGAUCGCCUAAAGUCUCGUGAUCGAGUAAAACCGGUUUGAAUAUACCAGUGCCGUAACUACAUAUGGUGAAUUUCUAGCGAAUAUAUUCGUAAAAUCAAAAUAAAAAUAAGUAUUCAUCAUUCAUUUAUAUAUGUAAUAAGAAUAAUCAUUUUGCUAUAGAAAAACAAAUUGAAUAAAAAUUUUAAAUAUUUUUUAGAAAAAAAAAUUAAUUAAUAUUCAUAAAAAUUCUAUGUAAUGUAAUUUUUAAAUAAAGACAAUAUUAAAAUUAAA